UGGGCGGAGCUCCGUGCCGGAAUUGCGGCCGGGCGGUUCCGCUGGAUCAAGAUGGUGGUUCCCGCUGCGCUCCGCGUGGUGCGAUGCGGCGGCGGGUCCCUGCACGGCGCUCGGGCCGUGUUCUCCGUCGGCAACAAGUUCCUGCUAUGCGCCUCCGGGGACUUCGUGAAGAUGUACAGCGUGGCCACCGAGGAGCUCGUGCGGCUGCUGCGAGGGCACAGCGACCUGGUGACGGGCGUGCAGCUCGCCCCGCACAACCGUAUGCAGCUCUAUUCUUGCUCCCUUGAUGGCACCAUUAAGCUGUGGGACUUUACAGAUGGGAUUCUUAUUAAGACAUUCACUGUGGGAUAUCGGCUCCUGGCCCUGUAUGCGCUGCCUACUUCUGAGGAUUCAGUGUUUGUUAUCAUUCCUAAGAGUGGUGUCAGAGGUACAUUCCAGCUGGUCUCAGUUAAGCUGACAAAAGCAGCAGGCCAACAUGUGGAAGCCAAGGAACUGUCUGUGAUUUUGGAGGUUGUGGAUGCAUCACCCAAGUGUACUGCAUUUGGAAGAGAGGGUGAAUAUGUGGCAUCAGUAAAGGAUGUUCAUCUCCAAGUUUAUUUCUUUAAAAGGAAGCAAUUGAACAGGUUUUCUCUGAGAGCAACAAAUAAAAAAGGUGGAAACAACAUCUUUACUUGUGUAGCCUGCCAUCCUCAGGAGGAUUGUAUUGCAACUGGCCACGCUGAUGGGAAGAUUCGUCUCUGGAGAAACUUCAACCACCAAAGAGAGUACACGUUCUCUACGCUGCACUGGCAUCAUGAUCAAGUCCUGGAUCUAGCUUUUUCACUAGAAGGAACUAACUUGCUGAGUGGAGGAAUUGAAUCCGUUCUAGUUCAGUGGCACAGUGGAUCAGACUACAACAAGGAUUUCCUUCCUCGCCUGGGAUCUGCUAUUGAAUAUGUCACCAUUUCAUCUGAUGGCGCUUUCUACUGCACCUUGCAUACAGACAACAGAAUUAGUAUAAUCAACAGCAACCUGAGAUUUGCCAAAACUAUUCAAGGGCUAAUUAAAGCCAGGGAUGUCAAGACUGGCCUAGUGGUUGAUCCUAGAACCAAAGCUUUGGUGCUGAAUGGGGAGCCUGGCCACUUGCAGUUCUACAGUCUCCAAAGUGACAAACAGCUCUACAGUUUGGAUAUUGUUCAGCAAGAAUACAUCCAGCAAGUGGGUUUAAACCAAUUUGACUUGGUAAGUGUUGCAUUCAGUGCCCAAGGCAAGUGGUUAGCAACAGUAGAAGAGAGAGAAGAAACGGACCUGGAUUUACAGUUGAAGCUGUGGCUCUUUGAUGAGAAAACACAAAGCUUUAAACUGAAUACUAGAAUAAGUAUGCCUCACGAUGAUCACAUAACGGCUAUGUGCUUCCGUGACAUGGAGGAAUUGGAAGAUGACUCUCUGAUGCUGGUGACAACUGGGAGAGAUUGUGUGUUCAAGGUCUGGGUGAUAGUAGAAGACACUGAUCCAGAGGCGCAGCAAAGUUUGAGUUGGAGCUGUGACUUCGUAGGCAGCUACCACGGCUACCAGGCCACCAACUGCUGCUUCUCAGAAGAUGGCUCUUUGCUUGCUGUUAGCUUUGAGGAAACUGUCACUGUAUGGGAUUCCAGCACUUGGGAUCUGAAGUGUACGUUUUGCCAUCCACCUGGAAAAAUAAGGAGCAUCUGCUUUGGGAGACUAAAGUGUUCUAAAUACCUUAUUGGUGCCACUGACCACGGCUUUCUCUGUUGCUGGAACCUGCUCAGCUGUGCAUUGGAGUGGAGCGCUCACCUCAGUGUCGUAGUUCUGCAACCUGAUCCCCUUUCUGAACAUAUUGCUGCUUUCUCCUGGGUCCUUAGAGAGUCCAGCUUGUUUGUAUUUAAGCCAAAUGAGCCACGUCCAGUCUGUAUCCAGAGGAAUUUGUGUAAGGAAAGGAUCCAGUGUGCUGCCUUUGUUCCAAGAGAUGAACCUGAAACAAUCAGUUCAGAGAAACACCUUUGGCUAAGAAGUUCCCAGCUCUUUUUUCUUACAGAUACGCAAGAGCUAUUGACAGUUAGCACAAAGUCUCUAGAAGAAAGACUUACGCCAUCAAGCACGCAGCUGGCAGUGGAGGAAAGUCUUCCUGUGACCCCAUUUAGCUUGUUGUUGGGAAAGCACAGGCAUCAACAAUCUCAAGGAGAUGUAGACCUUGGAAAAAUGAUUUGCCGUCACCACCAACAAGAAUCCCCUGCUGUCAAAGAGCUCCUGCACACUCCAGCACACGUUUUGCCAUCUGCUUCCUUCCUGUGUCCCAUAUUUAUUAACUCAUUGCUCAUCUCCAAAGAGAACAAAAGUUGCUGGACAGUUUGACCCUGGGGAGCCCCAUGGAGAUGCUGGUUAGUGGGAUUGGGCAGAUGGAGAUGGAUUCCGUGCAGGCAAGAGGCAACGGCCAGGAGGAGACUCAGAAGACAACAAGAGGAAAAUGACAGCCUGAAAUAUAAUUCAGGGAGACAGGAAACUGCUGCAGAUUGCCCCUACAGCAGAAAGUUGAGGUGAAUACUUAUUUCUGACAGGUAUUUGUCUAAUUGUGUAAACCUCUUCCAAAAGGCAUUCUAUACUUCAUGCUUAAUCUAUUUCAUGUUUUUCUUGUGAAAGUAGUGUUUUCCCCUGCAGUAUAUAUUUCCUUCCACGUUUUUGUUGUAAGCUUCUUUGAUAAUCAUCUAUAAAACAUGGAAGCAAUCAGUAUGCUGCUAAGUUUCCUUUAAACAACAGCAACAAGGGUAAGAAACAGCUCUUCAGCCUUUCAGUUUCACUUUGCAUUAGGCCCUGAGAAGCACAAUAAUGCUCCUCUGGAACUUCUUAACAGUAACACCAACUGUGUCCCCAAAGCUGCUCAGUGCAAAAUCCUGACUCUUCACAAAUAGUUGAGAAAGCCCAGUUUGACUUUACACCUUGGGCACACAAAAAACACACAGCAAAUACUAAGUUCUUAAAUGUUGCUUUAAGUUCCAACUGCUUGUUGCUUUUAGGCAUGUACUCCAGCUACUUGUGUUAAGAAAAAGUUACUUAUACCGACUGAAGCCCUUUAGGUAAAUAACAAGAUGUGGGUGUAAGGAAGUUAGCACAGCUCUGGGAAUGUGCUGCUCAGCAGUUUCUUGAGGUCACAGGUUUCUCAGAUGUUUUGAAUGGCUGCCACAGAAAGAAGCUUUCCCACCUUCCAGCUUGCAUCCUCUGCUCGUUUCUGCUCCUUCAUCACUGCCAGCCUUGUGCUGGUGCAAGCUCCCAUUGCCUUGCGCUGAACUAGACCAGGAGAAGAAAUCUGGCUUUGCACUAUCCCAGAUGAUACACAAGUGUGUUGUGUAAGGUGGUUACUGAGCUGCAGCCAAAUUCCACUGAGAACAACAGAGGACAUUUCUUCAAGAGCUUUUUGUGUGUUCAGGAGACCAUGUUCCCAUGCUAAAUGUGCAGAAUCCCACUCCUUUCUCACGCAGACACAGAGCCUGUCUUCUGUUGCUGCAGCCCCCUGGUCAGGCUGUUCCCAAGGCAUCUGUCUGAGGGGACAACCUAGCGCUGUUUAUCUUAUGAGAACAGCCAAGAACAAUUUCUUCUUGAGAGCAGGUUUUAGGAAAUAAGGUACAACCUAAAAAAGCCAGUUCUGUUGCCUACUUUUCUAAAUGGCUUGCUUAUACUUCAGACUCCUUGUUUUAUAAAUAGCACAUGAUCUAAAUUAUCAUAACUACAGUAACUGAUAAACUAUAAUAACUGAUUAUCAGUAUAUUCUGUUCCUGCCUCUACUUGUGUCUGUUUGUCAUGUUACUUUGUUUUAAUUCAGAUUAGAUACUGUGAUAAAAGCUUCAGCUACCUUGGCCAUUUUCUGCUCUCACUUCUGCCUCAAGCUGGCAGAACAGAUGAAACCAUCAGCAUUAUCUAAGAGGUCAUCGCUUCAAUUUUAAGUCACCGCUUUAUGAAUCCUAAAGGCAAGAGCAACUUUAUAGUCUUGCAAUCUGUUAUUCAAAGGCGAAAUGAAACGUUAUCCCAAGUGGAAUGCUUCUGCAGUGAAAAGUUCUGUUUAGGUUAAGUUCUCUCUAUCCUUAGGAUGUCUUAUGGCUGUGGCUUCUCCUGCUUGGAGCUCUAGUUCUAUCAAGGAAGAGAUCUUGGGGUAGGAGAUACAUUACAGUCCUACUUUGGCACUUUGAAAAUUCAACUAAAUAUCUCAGGAGGUUCAGUGUAUUUGUUAUAAUUAAAUUAAAUAAUACUUCCAGAUCUGAAAGAACUGUCUCAUAGAAUCAGAGGCCUGAUGUGGAAAAAAAGGAGGAAUUGCCACCUUCUGCUGUGCAGGAAACAGAUCAACAGUAAUGCUCUGCUGCAAUCGAGGGAGAAGAGGUCAGAAUGUGUGAGCACGUCUUUGCCCAGAUUUAGGCUCUGCUCCUUAUUUUUCACAGAUGGACAGAUUGCAGCUUGCUCUAUUUCCCAUGCAGCUUCACAAUCACCAGAGGUAAAUUACAAACAGUAGAAACACAUGUAAAAAAAGAGCACACAUGCCAUCAGUACAAAGAGACUAUUUAAAACCCAAAAUACCCCGUACUGAAAAAAGCUCUUUUUCACUUGCCAUAGGGGAAAGGAAAGCUGUGUUUCUGAGAACUAUCACAUACAGUAGGAAAGUUUGCAUUGCUUCCUCCAUCAGCGUGUUAUUUCUGGACUGCAAACAGCAACCAGACUGGGGAUACAGAAAACUAAAGUUCAACUGCUCCAGUGUGAAAUCUACUUGCUGAUCUCACUGACUGAAUGGAAAGCAAGUCGUUUGCUAAAUAAAAAGCCACUUCUGAGUCAGCAGGUUUAGUUGGACCCAGAAAACCACCCUGGAUACAGAACACUAAAAAUCAUCUGGAUGCAGUAAAUGAAAGAUGUCCAUUUAACUGGUGAAGAAUGUUCCAAAAACAGUCCAAGGUGGAACCAUGUGCAGUAAGUAGAAUUACAAAAUAAUUAAUUACUUAAAAAUACUGAAGAUAGGCUACAAUAUAAAAAUGGUGGAGGCUUCACGCUGCCCUUCACAGCUUAGUAUAACCAUAAGCCAUUCACAUAGUGAAGUCUAGUAGCACUGGUAACAGUGCUAAAAAGUUAUCUUUAUGGUAUGCAUGUACCACAGCUGGGCUUGAGGCCUCAAAUUCAAGGUGGUCACUGGUUCAAAUAUGAACAAUCCAUAGAGCUGCCUACCUGCAACAACAACAAAAAAACCUUUUGAGUAGAUUACAGGGCACAUAGCUCCUAGAGCAGAGUUCUUAGAGUGUGGCAUAGGGAAAGUGCGGCACCUCAGCUCAUCAGCAGGCAAAAACUAUCAGGUCUGCAGUCCUCUUGUUGAUCAUCAUAGGAACAAAAGACAAAAUAGUGAUCUUCAGAAAAGGAAAAACAUGGCAGAGAAGAAAAGGGUCUCCGAAGGAACAUGCAGAUGGCAUCUAGGAAUUACUUCAUUUUAAUUUUCAUCAAAUGUCUCCAGAGAAUCAAGCUUGUAUCUGUAAUACUUGCCAUCAGUAACUAAGUUGCUCUUACACAAUCAAAGACCUGCCAGGAAUAGCAAACUUGUGUUCUCAAAGCACACCCAAGCUUUCCCAUGCACAAACACCUGUAUACUGAUCAAACAAACUAUAGCUACAGUGUAUCACAAGGGCUCGCUCGGUGCUGGACAGCCAUCAGGGAACACAGACCUACACCCUGUUAGACAUGCCAUGUAUCCUUCAUUAAGAAAACAACUGAGCCACGGAAAUGGGUUGAUUCCAUUAAAGAUCCAAAUCCCUAUGGCAGGCUUUGACAUUCCUUUUUUACUUAAGAUCUAAGAGCUAUUGAAAAAAAACCCCAUGUAGCCGAAUGCAUACUGAGUUCCAAUCUACACAAAAUUUGAAAAAGAAGCAUCUUGACAGAACUCAGAAAACAAAAUCUUUUAAUGAGACAUUUGUUUAAUUUUUUUUUCUCCAUAGGGGAAGAGAAAGACGGUAGAGAUCAGUGUAUUUUCUUAAUAGUUUACUUAAUCACUUUAAUUGUCAUUUUCUUUCAAGAUUCAGAGUACCUGUAGGCUCUGAUCUAUAGAAUGCAUUAAGAAUAAAAGCAGCAGGGCACCACAGCAAUGAUUUGGAAUCUCUAGGUAUUGUUUCCCAAGAAAUCUGUAGAACAAAGAAUUUCAGAGCAAACGCUCAAUUUAAAGUAAUAAAUUAAAAGCUACUAAAUUAAAUCCAGUCAAUAUUAAUUAUUUCUAAAGUAGAAUGUGAGAGGUACAAAACAGCCUUUUUUUAAUCCCGUGUUCAUUUUCCAAAUUCAUUUUGACUAUUCGUUAGUGAGAUCACGUUGCAAAGGAAGGAAUGUGAACCAACCCAGUUUGCUAAUCCUGCUUUUAUGACUUCUUCAAACUGUUAAGAAGGUGCUCAUAAAAAGAGAACAUCAUGAAAUGAGGGAAAUAUAUAUUUAAAGAAAGGUAGAGUAGGUUAUUAGAAACUUUUGGAGAAACUUGAACAAAUCAGAAACUCAGAAGAACUCUGUUACUUCCAACAGUCACUGGAGAGAAGCAGGCCUUUCUGGUGUUUUUUUUAUAGGAAAGCUCUUAUGGGGAGAGAAGUUUGUGCCUUUUGGUAACUUGGUGAUGGAAUGUGAUCCAUCUUAGAAGUUCAAUUUAGUUUAAUUUACAGCUUAAAGUCUCAAUUGGAAACCCAAAGCCAGCUAAUAAGGUAACAAUUCUUUCCCUUCCCUGCCAUUUGGAGAACAAUGUGUUUGUCAUUUUGGGUUGUGGGUUGUGAAGACAUAAGAUUUGUCAAUCCAAUGUGAUUUGUUUGCUCACUUCGUGAGUCCCUCAAGAAAGAAACAGAAACCAAACAAACAACUGAAACAGCUGUGUUUGCAUUUAAACAAACAUUAAUUGAUUAAAGUAAUGAGUAACUAAAAAACACUUCAGAAAGCUCAUAUUUGUGGAUCAUGAGAAUUUACCUCCUUAAUCAUCUGUGUGCUAUCUUCUAUUGCAAGGGGAACAAACUCUUUGAUACAUCACACUUCUACAUGUGAGUAUGGAAUAAAAGAAGAUAGCAGUAUUGUCUGGGUGAACGGAUUUCAAUGCCUGAUCUCAGAAGGUGCUUAGUUUUCCAGGAGCCAUCCACAUGUACAGUUCAAUCAACAUGACAUGUUGGGUAGAAGGAUGAGUUACAGCAGCUAAGUAAUAUCUCCAUUCAAAUAAAAUAAAAUAAAAUAAAAAAUCAAAGCACGCUGGUAAAGAACUACUGUACUUGGUGAAAAAAACAGAAAGAAAACACUCAUCACCAGGGAGUCUCGUCAAGAACAUCCUAAAACAGUGUCAGCUAAGGACAAGGCAUUGUAAAAGUGUUACCUUUACCAGAGCUCAGGAAUCGCAGAAUCACACAGAAUCACAGAAUGACCUGGGUUGGAAGGGACCUCAAGGAUCAUGAAGUUCCAGCCCCCCUGCCUGGCAGGGCCACCAAACUUCCACAAUUACUAGAUCAGGUUGCCCAGGGCCCCAUCCAACCUGGCCUUGAACACAAUACCAUGGAUCUCUGUUUACCAGACUGCUUGUUUGAGUUGUUGUUUGGAACUACUCAAUAAAAUUUCAGAUCUGAACUCAUUUCUUAGGGAAUUAACACACCAGUCCCAAGGACCACUUUUAGCCCCCUUUCCCAGCAGGUACAGGUAGCAGUGCUCAGUGAGUCCACCAGCUGCUCGCCAGCUACCACGGGGCAAGGUUCAGAGCAGCGUGGCAAGGUUCCAGCAGCGGUGAGAGGGAAGGAAGCUCUGCUGCGCCUGCCAACAAACCCAGAGACAGCACGCAGAAAGCUGAACUUUGCCUUACAUAGAGGCUGACGGACCGAGCUCUGUCUGGCUUUCAGAUCUUCAUCAGGCUCUACUCACACACAGCAGUUUCAGCUCUGUGGGAAUGCAGUGAAAAGAAAGCUUCCAUUUUAAGUGACUGAGCAUUGGCUUUAUUCAUCUCGUCUUGACACACAGACUCCUGCUUUGCCAGAAACAGCCUGGACAAAAGCUCACAGAAAGUGCCUCACGUUUGUGUUUUCCUGCCAAAAUGUUUCAUCUUGCCCAUGAGUGGCUGAGCGAGCACAGGAGCUCCAGAACUCCCAGUGGCGAUUUUCCUGCUGCUACCUGCAGAGGACAAAUGAUCCGUUCUUGGAGGGGGUUUGUUUUCUUUAUUCUUGGGUUUGUUGCUAUUCCAAGGCCUUGAUGCCACAGGGCACUAAUUCUUAUCAUUUCAUCUUCACACGUCACAAACCGCACCCCCCACCCUAAAUGCAAAUCAAUAGGCUGGGACAACAGCAAGGAAAUUCUGUUGUGAAUCUUGAGGAAAACAAAUAAUAAUAAUAAUAAUAAAAUCACUGAGCUGCUUCAACUACAAUAAACAGAUUUUCCCCUUGACUUAAAGAAA